rnacentral:tRNA from 1 species
GCAUGGGUGGUUCACUGGUAGAAUUCUUGCCUGCCACGCGGGAGGCCCGGGUUCGAUUCCCGGCCCAUGCA